rnacentral:tRNA from 1 species
GCUAUUGGUUCAGUGGUAGAAUGCUUGCCUGCCACGUGGGCGCCCCAGGUUCGAUUCCCAGCCGAUGCAUUUUUUUUUUUUACAAUUUUUAAAACUCAUUUAUAUAUUAUAGUGGCGGGUGCCCCGGGUUCGAUUCCCGGCCGAUGCA